rnacentral:rRNA from 1 species
GAUGAACGCUGGCGGCGUGCCUAACACAUGCAAGUCGAGCGAGAAGCUCGUAAGCUGAUCUUCGGAAAGGCGAGCGAGCGGAAAGCGGCGGACGGGUGAGUAACGCGUAGGCAACCCGCCCCAUACAGAGGGAUACCUUCGGGAAACCGGAAUUAAAACCUCAUAAUGCCAUUUGAUCACAUGGUCGGAUGGCCAAAGAUUCAUCGGUAUGGGAUGGGCCUGCGUCUGAUUAGCUAGUUGGUGAGGUAACGGCUCACCAAGGCGACGAUCAGUAGCAGAACUGAGAGGUUCAUCUGCCACAUUGGAACUGAGACACGGUCCAAACUCCUACGGGAGGCAGCAGUGAGGAAUAUUGCACAAUGGGCGAAAGCCUGAUGCAGCAACGCCGCGUGAGUGAUGAAGGCCUUUGGGUCGUAAAACUCUGUCCUUGGGGAAGAAAAAAAUGACGGUACCCUUGGAGGAAGCCCCGGCUAACUACGUGCCAGCAGCCGCAGUAAGAC